rnacentral:rRNA from 1 species
AGUGAACGCUGGCGGUAGGCCUAACACAUGCAAGUCGAACGGCAGCACAGUAAGAGCUUGCUCUUACGGGUGGCGAGUGGCGGACGGGUGAGGAAUACAUCGGAAUCUACUUUUUCGUGGGGGAUAACGUAGGGAAACUUACGCUAAUACCGCAUACGACCCACGGGUGAAAGCAGGGGAUCUUCGGACCUUGCGCGAUUGAAUGAGCCGAUGUCGGAUUAGCUAGUUGGCGGGGUAAAGGCCCACCAAGGCGACGAUCCGUAGCUGGUCUGAGAGGAUGAUCAGCCACACUGGAACUGAGACACGGUCCAGACUCCUACGGGAGGCAGCAGUGGGGAAUAUUGGACAAUGGGCGCAAGCCUGAUCCAGCCAUACCGCGUGGGUGAAGAAGGCCUUCGGGUUGUAAAGCCCUUUUGUUGGGAAAGAAAAGCAGCAGGUUAAUACCCCGCUGUUCUGACGGUACCCAAAGAACAAGCACCGGCUAACUUCGUG